UUGAUGUCUGUAAGCUCAUCUUCCUUCAACUAUAUACCCUCCCUCCUCUUUCCUCAUUUCCCUGAUGGUUUACCUGGUGGAAUGAAGAUACACACUGUGUCAGCAGAAAUCAGUUCCAUGCCCUGAGGACUUUUGAAGAGGUUAAUUGCUGUAGUAGGGAUGGAGCCUUAGUUCAACAUGACUAGAGUCCCUGUGAGAAGAGGAGAGCACCAGAACACUCAUGAACAGAGAAGAGACCAUGUAAGGAUCCAGAUGAAAGGUGGCUGCCUGCCUGCCUGCCAGGGAGAGCGGUGUCCAGAGAAACUUGCCUUGUGGUGAUGUGAGGCUGCCCCCACACCAUGGCUGUAAGGUGCAGCCACAGUAUAAAUAGCUACAGAACAGGGAUUGUCACCCAGGCCAAGAAAGACUUUCUAGCAGUAUCCCUCACAGGCUUGAGGCCUGCCUUCCCCUCCUGCUCCUCCAGGCAGAGGGAAAACCACUCCAGUAUCACAGAAAAGCAAAAUUAAAAGGGCCAAACACAAAUGAACCAUGUUUACCACAACAGCAAGCUACAGUGUUUGCCUAGUGCUAUAGUUCCAUGAUGGGCACAAUUCUAUAACCACUGGGAAAUGCCAGCCACCUCUCCAGCUUUUAGGAUCUUGUAACUCUAGGUGUAGGGUGCAAGCAGCAGUAAAUUCCCUGUGUGCUUCUGCAUGUGGGGUGUUGUGCUGAGACGCUUCUUAGCAUUGUCGGGUCAGCAAACAGCUGUUCUGCGUGAUCUUCUGGUCUAGCACACACCACAGCAUGGACCUCAGGAGGACACCAAGGUAACCACCUGCGUGCUUGCUCUUUAUUCCUCUCAGAAUCCUGGUUGAAUAAACUGUGUUGAUUGCUUCGUACAGCCCUACUGUAUGUCAAGCAGUGUUAAGCACCAAGGAAAGACUGCUGAAGACAGACAGGAUUCACCAAAGCACUCAAGGAACUCACAGUUCAAUAAGGAAUGGUGGCAUGCAAACAUUUUGUAUAAAAAUUAGAUUUCUUCUUGGAGAUGAAUGUGGUCAUUGUGCCCUCGGUGUUGGGGUGUAUAUGGAGAAAUGUGUCCACAGAGGAGACCUAAAAGCACAUGCAGACGAUCUGAUGGAGCUGCCCCAGUGUUCUUUUGUCCCUUGGUCUUCUGUGGAAAGGACUGGUAUAAUUUAUAGUUUACAUGAUCCCAUAUCAUGCUGACAGCAGUAGAGAUUUUUCGGGCAAGAAUGGCCAUCCCCAUUUUCCAGAUAAGAAAAUUGACACUAAGAAAGAUCUAGGCACUUGCUAUGGCCAUGGAGGUAAUAUGUGGCAGUGGCAGGAUUAUAAACCACUGUUCGUCGAGAACUCUACAGAAGGAGGAGCUGUGUGUCAAACAGAGCUGGCCAUAGUAGAGCCUCGCAGGCACACCUGGCUGGUCUGCCACCUGUAUAGCAGGUUAUCUAAGGAUCAACCAAACUCACACCAAAGAUAUGGGAAGCUGAGCGUGGUGACACAAGGCUACAAUCCAAGAACUUGGGAGACGAGGAAGGAACAUCAGAGUUCAAGGUCAUCUUGGCUACAUAGCAAGUUUGAGGUCAACCUGAACUCAACAUGAGACCUGCCUCAAAAACAAACAAAAAGGAGGAAAGAAAGAAAGACAAAAGAGAAAAAGAAAGAGGAGAAAAGUAUGGGAGAGUCUGCAUCUAUACCGGCUGGUUUCUUGGCAUCAUUCUUUGGACAAUACAGUAUAGCAACUUAUACACCAUUUACAUGUAUUUGGCCCCAUAAGUCACCUAAAGGUGAUUUACAGCAUUCAGGGGGAUAACAUAAGUGUCAUGCACACAAUCCUCCAUUUCAUGUAUGGCAUCCUGAGGGAAGUUCUGGAACCAUCAAGCCGUAGAUGCCAAAUAAAGGCUGAACUUGAACUGCUUCUCUGCUCUUGGGGUCUUCUGUGCAGAUUCCCCAUCUCUGCCUUUUCCUCGACCUUCUCAUCUCUGUGAUAGUCAAAUCUGUCUGCUCUCCCUAACUCAAUGGAUCUAAAAGUCUGGUCCCUAAACCUAUAGUACCAAAAUCACCUGGGAACUCAUUAGAAAUGCUGAUUCUCAAGUUCUAUAAGAAUUUUUUAUUUACAAUGCCACAGAAUUCCCAAUAAGCUCUCUAGGAUUCUGUGGGAUUCUAAAAUCUUAAGAACCACCCUGAAUUAAACUAAAUUGCCACACUCCUCUCUAGUCCCAAGGACA